rnacentral:rRNA from 1 species
CCUACGGGAGGCAGCAGUGAGGAAUAUUGGUCAAUGGACGUAAGUCUGAACCAGCCAUGCCGCGUGCAGGAUGACGGCUCUAUGAGUUGUAAACUGCUUUUGUACGGGAAUAAUAGUUCUUACGUGUAGGGAUUUCAAUGUAUCGUACGAAUAAGGAUCGGCUAACUCCGUGCCAGCAGCCGCGGUAAUACGGAGGAUUCGAGCGUUAUCCGGAUUUAUUGGGUUUAAAGGGUGCGUAGGCGGUUGGAUAAGUUAGAGGUCAAAGGUCGGGGCUUAACCCCGUGCCUGCCUCUGAUACUGUACGACUAGAGAGCGGAUGAGGUAGGCGGAAUGAGUAGUGUAGCGGUGAAAUGCGUAGAUAUUACUCAGAACACCGAUUGCGCAGGCAGCUUGCUAAUCUGCAUCUGACGCUGAUGCACGAAAGCGUGGGUAGCGAACAGGAUUAGAUACCCCAGUAGUC